rnacentral:rRNA from 1 species
UACGUAGGGUGCAAGCGUUGUCCGGAAUUAUUGGGCGUAAAGAGCUCGUAGGCGGUCUGUCGCGUCUGCUGUGAAAACUCGGGGCUUAACCCCGGGCCUGCAGUGGGUACGGGCAGACUAGAGUGCGGUAGGGGAGACUGGAAUUCCUGGUGUAGCGGUGAAAUGCGCAGAUAUCAGGAGGAACACCGGUGGCGAAGGCAGGUCUCUGGGCCGUAACUGACGCUGAGGAGCGAAAGCAUGGGGAGCGAACAGG